rnacentral:tRNA from 1 species
GCGAAAAUAACUUAAGUUUAGGUAAAGUGUAACCUUGCCAUGGUUAAAAUUGCGGGUUCGAGUCCCGUUUUUCGCU